UUGUAUAGUUUUGAUAAGUCAUUUUUCUUAAGGAGCUGCCCCAUCCGUACGAUACGAUACGAUACACCAACCUAUUUUGUAAACUAGUUAAGGUACCAAAGUAUGGUACUCAUACCCUGACUUGUACACCACCAAACAUGGAUUUUGGCCCAAAAUAGCCGCUUGAAAAUUCAAUUUAGCAUACCAUAGAGAAUGUCUCAACCACUAUUAAUCAAGUUACCCUUUGCAUAUGAAUAAUACACCCAAAUCAUCUUAUAAAAGGGAAAAUGCUCAAUUUAUAGUACUCCCCUUCGACUUUCAAAAACAAUAGUAUCAACAACAAUUCUGCUUUGAUUCUGAGUAGGAGAAAACUAACAUAAGAACCUCAUCAGACCUUUAUACGGACCAUGAAGGAACCUGUCAUUGACAAUAAAGAAAAAAUUAGGAACUUCACAUGGAAUUUAUGUUAAUUUGUGCCACUGUGCACAUGCAUAAUCUGCUAAAUGGAAAGACAUUUACUCAAUGGAAAGCUAUCACAUUUGUAACAGGAUAUUGGUGUCAUUGGUGUUUAACUUACUCAAGAACCAGAUAAAUGGAAAGAAUUUUUCUUAGAAGGUGUUCGGUUUAAAGCAAUUCCAUCCUUCAAGAUCAAUAAUUCCAAAAAAAUAAAGUCUACAUUCCCCGUUUGGCCCCCAUUUUUUGGAAAUGAUAAUGCGUGGAAUAGUAUUUUUUUGAAAAAUGAGUGGUAGAAAAAGAAAAAAAAGUUUUCAAUUUACAUAUAAUAUUAUUUUAUAGAAGAUCAUGUGAUUAAAAACAGGUGAGAGAAAAAUAAAAUGUAAUGGAACGAAAAUUAAUGGAGACCAAAUGGGGGCUAACAAGGUUUAAGAGUUGUGCCACAGAAGUCAAAAGGUGUUGAAAAUGUGAUACAUUUGAGAAACUAAGUUAGAGCACCAAAGUCCAAGGAAGAACUGAUAUUUGAAACAAAAGCGGAUACCUGUGACUGUUCACAACAAAAAUUAUUUGUCCCCUUUCCAAGGGCUUGAGCUUUUAUUGCGAUAGUUCAAAUGGUAUCGGGAACCACGAACGUUUUAUUCCCCUUUAUGACAUAUUCCUUCCUAGGGAUUAUAAAGCAUUUAUUUGUUUUAUCACUAAGAAUGCCGUAAGAAAUUUCUGUGAGGCUUAGCAGAACUGAAGCAAAGGUCAAAAGGUGUUGAAAAUGUGAGAUAUACAUUUGAGAAACUAAGAGCGCCAAAGUCUAAGGAAGAACUGAUAUUUGAAACAAAAGCGGAUACCUGUGACUGUUCACAACAAAAAUUAUUUGUCCCCUGUCCAAGAGCUUGAGCUUUUAUUGCAAUAGUUCAAAUGGUAUCGGGAACCACAAGAGUUUUUAAUUCCCCUUUAUGACAUUUUCCUUCCUAGGGAUUAUAAAGCAUUUAUUUGUGUUAUCACUAAGAAUGCUGAAAGAAAUUUCUGUGAGACUUAGCAGAGUUGGAGCAAAAAAUUUAGUCUAGGUCCUGUUUGGUGGAGGUUAAAAUCAGAUUUUUAAUAGAUUUUGAUAAAAGUUGAUGAAAUGUGUGGUUGAAAAGUUGUGGAUCUCAUAAAAUGUGAGGUUUAAAAUUAAUUAUUGAUUUUGACUUGGAUUAAAAUCUGGAUUUUAAUUCGUACCAAACAAGAGCUAAGUUCAGUUAUCUGUAAAUACCUCUUCCCUUUCAGACUUAGCCAAGCAGGCUACCCUUUAAAAGGUCUACAUAGGAUUCUUAAAAAUCUCUAAUCGAAUCAUUGAUUUUUGGGCCACUAUCAUAUGAUUGGUUUGUCCCAUUUGUUUCCCACUUACACUCCAUGCUCGUCAUCAAAAAGUUAAGAUUGUAAAUGGCUCUUUGACUACGGUUGUUGGGAAGGGCACAACCCCUCAUCAAAAAAUGUUACUCUCACUUUCAUAGUCUUGUCCUUCCUCUUAUGGUAUCUGAAUGUGUUGCAUUUCUUCACAUUUGUAAGCACAUUAUAAGUUAGAAACUAGGUCUUUGAUGUGCGUCUUUCUAUGUUAUUCACCUACAUUACAGUUAUAUACGUUUUCGUUCCAUUGAAUUGAGUAUGAUUACCAAGAAGUUAAUUCGGGCCUUAAUGUUUACCUUGAGUGUAACCAAACAGAAUUGGGGGAAGCUAUGAUGAGUGCAACGUACUUGUUCAACUAAAUGCCUUCUAGAGUUUAAAAUUCGCUAAAACCUUCACUCUCAUGGUCUUGUCCUUCCUCCUAUGAUAUUUGAAUGUGUUGCAUUUCUUCACAUUUGUAAGCACAUUAUAAGUUAGAAACUAGGUCUUUGAGGUAUGUCUAUGCCCUUGUUUGGUACCCAUUUUUCCCAAAAUACAUUUCUCUCUCUUAUUUUCAACCAUACACUCUUUAAUAAAAUAAUAUUACACGCAAAACUAAAACUUUUCCUUAUUUUUUAAUCACACAUUUUUCAACAAUCACCAUUACAAAAUGCAUUUUUACUAUGAAAAUGAGAAAUAAACAUGCUCUAUCUAUGUUAUUUUUUGAUAGGUGUCUAUCUAUGUUAUUCACCUACACAACAUAGUUAUAUAUGUUUUCGUUCCAUCAAAUUGAGUAUGUUUGUGUGAUUACAUCUACUAUGCCAAGAAUAUCGAUNUUUAAAAUUCGCUAAAACCUUCACUCUCAUGGUCUUGUCCUUCCUCCUAUGAUAUUUGAAUGUGUUGCAUUUCUUCACAUUUGUAAGCACAUUAUAAGUUAGAAACUAGGUCUUUG
rnacentral:lncRNA from 1 species